GAUGAACGCUGGCGGCGUGCUUAACACAUGCAAGUCGAACGGAAAGGCCCUGCUUUUGUUGGGGGCUCGGGUGGCGAACGGGUGAGUAACACGUGAGUAACCUGGCCUUACUUUUGGGAUAACUACAUGAAACCGCGUCGAAUAACGGAUAGCACCUCCUGCAUCUUGGUGGGGGUUGGUGAGUUUCGGCGGUUGGGGAUGGAUUCCCGGCUCAUCAGCUUGUUGGUGGGGUAGUGGCUUACCAAGGCUUUGACGGGUCGCCGGCCUGAGAGGGUGACCGGCCACAUUGGGACUGAGAUACGGCCCAGACUGCUACGGUAGGCAGCAGUGGGGAAUAUUGCAGAGUGGGGGGAAGCCUGAUGAAGCAACGCCGCGUGCGGGAUGACGGGCUUCGGGUGGUAAACCGCUUUCGCCUGGGACGAAGCGUGAGUGACGGUAAUGUGUAAAGAAGCACCGGCUAACUACGUG
rnacentral:rRNA from 1 species